UUCAUGCUUGUAUUUAUAAAUAUCGGCCUUAACUGUGGCGCGAGUCCAACCUUUAUACGUAGCAUUAAAUACUCUUCUAAUAUAAUGAAUCCAUGCAGGAUUAGAAGCAAAAGAAUAAGGCAAACACAUAACAGUAAUCAUUUUAGCUAAUUCUUCACGAUCCUUAUUUGGAUUGUAAUAUAAUAUACCUCCGGUGACUGUGUUUAUUCCUGGUCGAACUAGAUUUGAACCAGUACUUGGGUUAACUGUAGUAUCAGGACUUGUCCUCCCCGCUUGUUGCGCUUUCAAUUGGAAAUAUCUAGCCUUAUCGCUAAGGUGUAAUUUUAUAUGCUUAACUAAACUACCGGUGCCGCUACGAUCUCCAGUAUAUCUAUGAACAAGUAAUUUCCCACAAGAUUUACACUUUGCCUUAUUUUGUUC
rnacentral:lncRNA from 1 species